rnacentral:rRNA from 1 species
CCUACGGGAGGCAGCAGUGGGGGAUAUUGCACAAUGGGGGGAACCCUGAUGCAGCGACGCCGCGUGGGUGAAGGAGCGUUUCGGCGCGUAAAGCCCUAUCGGCAGGGAAGAAGAUGACGGUACCUGACCAAGAAGCCCCGGCUAACUACGUGCCAGCAGCCGCGGUAAUACGUAGGGGGCAAGCGUUAUCCGGAUUUACUGGGUGUAAAGGGAGCGUAGACGGCUAAUCAAGUCAGAAGUGAAAACCCAGGGCUCAACCUUGGGACUGCUUUUGAAACUGAGUAGCUAGAGUGCAGGAGAGGUAA